rnacentral:rRNA from 1 species
AUUGAACGCUGGCGGCAGGCCUAACACAUGCAAGUCGAGCGGAUGAAGGGAGCUUGCUCCUGGAUUCAGCGGAGGACGGGUGAGUAAUUCCUAUGAAUCUGCCUGGUAGUGGGGGAUAACGUCCAGAAACGGGCGCUAAUACCGCAUACGUCCUGUGGGCGAAAGUGGGGGUUCUUCGGACCUUACGCUAUCAGAUGAGCCUAGGUCGGAUUAGCUAGUUGGUGGGGUAAAGGCCUACCAAGGCGACGAUCCGUAACUGGUCUGAGAGGAUGAUCAGUCACACUGGAACUGAGACACGGUCCAGACUCCGACGGGAGGCAGCAGUGGGGAAUAUUGGACAAUGGGCGAAAGCCUGAUCCAGCCAUGCCGCGUGUGUGAAGAAGGUCUUCGGAUUGUAAAGCACUUUAAGUUGGGAGGAAGGGCAGUAAGUUAAUACCUUGCUGUUUUGACGUUACCAACAGAAUAAGCACCGGCUAACUUCGUG